ensembl:snoRNA
AGCCUCAUUCUGGAUUAGAAUGGACACUGUCAAUUGGUGUCCAGAACUGGUCAAUGUGGCUAAAAUUGAGACACAGGACAUGUUUUCAUCACAGUGAACGUUUACAGUGCUGACAAUGAGUCCUGUAACAUUC